rnacentral:rRNA from 1 species
AGUGAACGCUGGCGGUAGGCCUAACACAUGCAAGUCGAACGGCAGCACAGUAAGAGCUUGCUCUUACGGGUGGCGAGUGGCGGACGGGUGAGGAAUACAUCGGAAUCUACUUUUUCGUGGGGGAUAACGUAGGGAAACUUACGCUAAUACCGCAUACGACCUACGGGUGAAAGCAGAGGAUCUUCGGACCUUGCGCGAUUGAAUGAGCCGAUGUCGGAUUAGCUAGUUGGCGGGGUAAAGGCCCACCAAGGCGACGAUCCGUAGCUGGUCUGAGAGGAUGAUCAGCCACACUGGAACUGAGACACGGUCCAGACUCCUACGGGAGGCAACAGUGGGGAAUAUUGGACAAUGGGCGCAAGCCUGAUCCAGCCAUACCGCGUGGGUGAAGAAGGCCUUCGGGUUGUAAAGCCCUUUUGUUGGGAAAGAAAAGCAGCAGGUUAAUACCCCGCUGUUCUGACGGUACCCAAAGAAUAAGCACCGGCUAACUUCGUG